AGAAAUUUGUGGCCCCGCGUGAAUCAAAACUGGCUUACAUCCCUUUCAACUCGGUCAUCAACAUGAUUGGGUUUUGUGUUAUGCAUGCCUUCGACAAGAGAAAAAAGAUGUAUGUAAGCAUUGCACAAAGGCACGGGUUUCCGUGUAACAUUCUACGUUGCUCAAGUCGAGUAUGCGCUAAACAUGGGCUACCAAGUUUUGGAUGUUUUUGAGGCAUUGCAUUACCAACGUCAAGAGUAUUUAGAGGGGCCCUUUUUCCUGCUUUUUGCAAAGAAAAAAAUUGCAUUUACUUUGGCAAAUAAGCUUGCAUCGAAGGCUUGGAGGGGUACCGUAUUGGUAGAGCAUCCGCUUUCCAAUAUGCGAAUCCUGGUUCGCUCCCAGGCUUGCCAAGUCCAAGAUUCCCUGUGGUAUUUGAUUACAGCAUGAGUUGCUGCUUUAACAGCUUAAACGGGCGAACCUGCGGUCAUUCCCGAGGGGACGUCAAUCCAAUCACGGAACAUAUCUGCGAAAUGACAACGGAGUGUAUCUCCGAUUGGUCCUUCCUUGGAGGCAACCUGAUGGCUGGAAUGGCCAUUAUUUUGGAAGCUCAAAUGUUCAUGCUACAAGAGAUGACGGCACUCUUGCAAAGGAAUGUCAAUGUGUUGGGAAUUGCCACCGAUUGCUUGUUUCUCAGCUACCCUAAGACACUUG